UGGGGAAUUUUGGACAAUGGGCGAAAGCCUGAUCCAGCAAUGCCGCGUGUGUGAAGAAGGCCUUCGGGUUGUAAAGCACUUUUGUCCGGAAAGAAAUCCUUGGCUCUAAUACAGUCGGGGGAUGACGGUACCGGAAGAAUAAGCACCGGCUAACUACGUGCCAGCAGCCGCGGUAAUACGUAGGGUGCAAGCGUUAAUCGGAAUUACUGGGCGUAAAGCGUGCGCAGGCGGUUUGCUAAGACCGAUGUGAAAUCCCCGGGCUCAACCUGGGAACUGCAUUGGUGACUGGCAGGCUAGAGUAUGGCAGAGGGGGGUAGAAUUCCACGUGUAGCAGUGAAAUGCGUAGAGAUGUGGAGGAAUACCGAUGGCGAAGGCAGCCCCCUGGGCCAAUACUGACGCUCAUGCACGAAAGCGUGGGGAGCAAACAGGAUUAGAUACCCUGGUAGUCCACGCCCUAAACGAUGUCAACUAGUUGUUGGGGACUUCAUUUUCCUUAGUAACGUAGCUAACGCGUGAAGUUGACCGCCUGGGGAGUACGGUCGCAAGAUUAAAACUCAAAUGAAUUGACGGGGUCAUA
rnacentral:rRNA from 1 species